CGCCAUGUAGCGUAGAUCCGUCUUGUUCCACGCGAGACGUAGAAGCGGGGUCUCCGGGGUGGGGGAUUCGUACACGAUGGUGGAGUGCUCCUUGUCGCGGAGGUCGAAGAUGCGGACGGAGCCAUCGGCGGAGACGGAGGCGAAGACGCCGGCCUCGCCCCAGGCGAUGUCGUAGACUUCUUUGUCGUGGGCGAUGAGUUGGGUCUCGACGAUGCCACGCUCGAUGUCCCAGAUGGUACAUGUGGUGUCGAUGCUGGAGGUGCCGAUGCGGUUGGGGUUGGAGUCAUUCCAGUCGAAGGAGGUGAGGGGGGCGGAGAAGUCGGAGGACUUGGAGUUGUUGAGGAGGGAGCGAAGUUCGACGGAGGAUUCAGUGGGGUGCCAGAGGCGGAGGGAGUCGCCGGAGGAGGCGAGGAGAGGGUGGGG
rnacentral:misc_RNA from 1 species